rnacentral:rRNA from 1 species
GACGAACCGUGCGAACGUUGUUCGGAAUCACUGGGCAUAAAGGGUGCGUAGGCGGUCUUUUAAGUCAGUGCUGAAAUAUCCCGGCUUAACCGGGAGGGUGGCAUUGAUACUGAAGGACUUGAGUAAAGUUGAGGUAGGCGGAAUUGACGGUGUAGCGGUGAAAUGCUUAGAUAUCGUCAAGAACACCGAUAGUGUAGACAGCUUACUAAGCUUUAACUGACGCUGAGGCACGAAAGUGUGGGGAUCAAACAGG